rnacentral:rRNA from 1 species
GUAGUCCACGCCGUAAACGAUGAGUGCUAGGUGUUGGGGGGUACCACCCUCAGUGCCGAAGCUAACGCAUUAAGCACUCCGCCUGGGGAGUACGGUCGCAAGACUGAAACUCAAAGGAAUUGACGGGGGCCCGCACAAGCAGUGGAGCAUGUGGUUUAAUUCGAAGCAACGCGAAGAACCUUACCAAGACUUGACAUCCCGCUGACCGCUCUAGAGAUAGAGUUUCCCUUCGGGGCAGCGGUGACAGGUGGUGCAUGGUUGUCGUCAGCUCGUGUCGUGAGAUGUUGGGUUAAGUCCCGCAACGAGCGCAACCCCUAUGUUGUGUUGCCAUCAUUUAGUUGGGCACUUACAACAGACUGCCGGUGACAAACCGGA